rnacentral:tRNA from 1 species
GGCCAGUUAGCUCAGCUGGAUAGAGCUUGAUGCUGAUAACGCCAAGGUCGUGGGUUCGAUCCCCGUUCGGUCCC